GAUGAACGCUGACAGAAUGCUUAACACAUGCAAGUCUACUUGAAUUUGGGUUUUUUAACUUCGAUUUGGGUGGCGGACGGGUGAGUAACGCGUAAAGAACUUGCCUCACAGCUAGGGACAACAUUUGGAAACGAAUGCUAAUACCUGAUAUUAUGAUUAUAGGGCAUCCUAGAAUUAUGAAAGCUAUAUGCGCUGUGAGAGAGCUUUGCGUCCCAUUAGCUAGUUGGAGAGGUAACGGCUCACCAAGGCGAUGAUGGGUAGCCGGCCUGAGAGGGUGAACGGCCACAAGGGGACUGAGACACGGCCCUUACUCCUACGGGAGGCAGCAGUGGGGAAUAUUGGACAAUGGACCGAGAGUCUGAUCCAGCAAUUCUGUGUGCACGAUGACGCUUUUCGGAAUGUAAAGUGCUUUCAGUUGGGAAGAAAAAAAUGACGGUACCAACAGAAGAAGUGACGGCUAAAUACGUGCCAGCAGCCGCGGUAAUACGUAUGUCACGAGCGUUAUCCGGAUUUAUUGGGCGUAAAGCGCGUCUAGGUGGUUAUGUAAGUCUGAUGUGAAAAUGCAGGGCUCAACUCUGUAUUGCGUUGGAAACUGUGUAACUAGAGUACUGGAGAGGUAAGCGGAACUACAAGUGUAGAGGUGAAAUUCGUAGAUAUUUGUAGGAAUGCCGAUGGGGAAGCCAGCUUACUGGACAGAUACUGACGCUGAAGCGCGAAAGCGUG
rnacentral:rRNA from 1 species